AUCAUACCAUAUUAGAGACAAUAUGGAAGAUCUGGAUUCAGUUUGACUGUGUGUGCGCGUAUCUGCAUGCACCUACUCAGAGAUACAAAGACAAUCGCAGAUCUGGAUUCCAGCAGGAUAUUGUCCGAGAAUUCUUGCAUGAGUCUGGAGAAAUCAGCAUACAUUGCAGCAAACUAUCGAGUGGUAAUGUGGAGAUGGUCUCUUCAAGAUGAGCUUAUCAUGCCAAGUCCAAGAAAUACGGUUGGGAGACUUGUGCUAAGGGAGACGUGCGCACUCACCAGAUGAUGAAAUAAGCAGCACAGAAAGCUUGUGAAAUGCUACUAUGUUUCUGCCAGAUCAGUGAACAGGUAUACAUGAGUUACAAACUUCGGUGCAGAGACAUCUGAGCUGCAGGCCUAU
rnacentral:lncRNA from 1 species